UAGCAUAGAUCCAACGAAUCGAUGACUAAAUGAAUCGCAAACUACUUUUAUAAUCGAUUUAAUCGAUUAGUUGUUGCAGCCCUAGUUGAUAUCAACACUUCAGUCAUCAACAAUUGCAUCAUCAGAGAAAUGGACACUGAAACAGUGUAGGACUGACUUGGUAGGAUAUGUACAGCAAGGAGUGGUCAUAGAGAGAGAGAUCAGAAAGCAUAAGAAUAAGUAUCUACAUUUGAUUAUUUACAAUCCGGGGAGGUGGGAUGUGGAGGGGGGAGGGUGUUAGUUAAGGGUUGAAGUUGCCUGGAGGUGUUCUUUUAGUGCGGUUUUGAAGGAGGAUAGAGAUGCCCUUUCUUUUACACCUGUUGGGAGUGCAUUCCAUAUUGAUGUGGCAUAGAAGGAGAAUGAGUUAAGACCUUUGUUAGAUCGGAAUCUGGGUUUAACGUGGUUUAUGGAGCUCCCCCUGGUGUUGUGGUUAUGGCGGUCAUUUACGUUAAGGAAGUAGUUUGACAUGUACUUCGGUAUCAGGGAUGUGUAGCGUAGGCUGACCAUACGUCCUCUUUUCCCCGGACAUGUCCUCUUUUGCGGGGAUGUCCGGGGUGUCCGGGCGGGGUUUUUUAAAUGCCUCAAAUGUCCGGCAUUUUGAGUUAGGGUUGCGUGUACCGGGUAUUUUCAAUGUUCGUCCAGAGUUAAGAAGGGGUUAAACAAAACAAAGUGUGGAGGCGUGCGUGUAACACGGGUGGGAAAUAAGCCAUAUUUCCUCUCAUGGCAUCCCCUCAUAUUACCUGCGGCGUUUCCACGUGUAAUCUCACGAGUUUAACACGCGCGCUCACGUGACCCGCUGCAGCCUAUCGCGCUCUAUAUGAUCCACCGUCCCAAGAUGGCUGCCAGGUGCGGUGGCUAAGCCUGGGCACAUCUGAAGCCAGUAUGUUUUAAAGUUGUCGUUUGCCUGCAUAUCGUAAAAACAACCGUCCAACAUUUUACAACUAAUUGUAAACUUAUAGGUGCCGACCAUCAGGGCCGAGUUGCGGCGAGAGAGUGUUAUUAAGCCGAGUUGGCCAGGUCCCUAAGUCUUGGAUGGCGAGCUGUAGAUAGGCCUUGAGCCUGAGCCCAAGGAUCUCUACCUCUCAACCCCUGAACUCCACCUGCUCUGGUCGGGCCGGUAGGCGGCUUAUAGCCGAACCCCUUGCCUCGCACCUCAUUACUCUGCAGCCUUUUGCACUACCUCAUACACACCCUGCCCAUAAACUGAGCUGUCACUACAAACUGCCAUAUCCACAACCCCAACCCUGGGACCCCAUUUUGAAAAUUCCUAGCGCCAACACUGCUGUCAACAGAGGAGAAAAAUGCUUUAUUUAAAUAAAUAUAGUAUUUAUAAAGCAAGUUCGAGUAUCAUUGGCAAAUUUUCACCUAGUCCCCGCCUUGGCACGCAUAUAUGUCCUCUUUUUGGGAUUUCAGAAUAUGGUCAGCCUACAUGUACAAUCAUUUUUGAUCACCCUCUGUGUCAAUCAUAUCUAACAUAAUAUACUACAAAUAUAACAUUUGUCUUCUGGAUGUGGUCCUGUGGUGUCCACAUGUUUCCAACGAUAGAGGCAUUCAUAAAACUUUUUAAUGGCAUCUGGCACUUUGGUGAGAUGUUUUCUUCACAGAUGAAUCCAUGUUUUCACUGUUGAGGGCAGAUGACAGACAGCAUAUAGGCCGGCGUGGGUUACUGUCUACUGGUACAGUAGACAAAUGUUACGGGCAAUGAUCAUUUGGAAAGCACAGAGAUACCAUGAAACCCACUGUUGUGCCAUUCAUCCAUGACCUACCAUGAAUUGAUUAACGUGGACCCCGACUUAAACAAGUUGAAAAACUUAUUCGGGUGUUACCAUUUUGUGGUCAAUUGUACGGAAUAUGUACUGUACUGUGCAAUCUACUAAUAAAAGUUUCAAUCAAUCAAUCAAAAACCAUCACCUCAUGUUUGCAGCAUGAUGAUGCACAGCCCCAUGUUGCAAGGAUCUGUAAACUAUUCUUGCAUGGUAGCUAAAAAACAUCCCAGUUCUUGCAUGCAGUGUAUCACCGGACAUGUCAUCCAAUGAGCCAUGGUUAGUGUCUUCUUUUUAUUCCUAUAAAACAGGUCGGUAAAGUGUGAUAAUAUUAACACAUAUGUCUCCAAGCAAUUAUAAGCGUUUCUGAAUAUAUGAAUAUUGAAGUAUGUUGUUUAAAAGUGUGUAUUUGUGCUGAAAUUUGUAACGUUCAAUAAGCGAUGUCUCCCUUUGUGUGCGAGCGCAUGGUUGGGCGGGAAUGGCGGCGGCAGUGGACUUGUUGAAGAUAAUUUCUGUGAUUGUUAAGAAGUUUUAUAGGUAUAGUCAGGUAACAAUAUGUGUAAUUGUAAUUGGUUUAUAAUGACAGUGACAAUAUAGAAACAAGCGUUCAAGAAAGCAGCGAUAUUAUAAAGAAGCAAUGUCAGGAUACAGUACAAACAUGUAAGAUGAAGAAGUUUAUUAAAGCAACAGUACCGUUACGUGAUGCUUAUACACAGGAAAGAUAGUGUUGGGGUAUGUAACGAUCAAUCCUCCAUGUUUUUGUGGAUUUGUUUUAUCAUUUCAAAAGUAAAGAUGUAAUUGUUUAACGAUGUGAAUGAACAAAUGUAGAAUUGAAAUUACAUUAUCGAAACCAUUUGGGUGUGAUUAAAAGCACAAUAGAAAUGCAAAUGAGAGUAAAGAAAUCAAGAAAUGUUUAAUAAAAGAGUCAGGUCAUACCCUGCAAUGACAACGCAA